rnacentral:rRNA from 1 species
CCCUUAGAUGUUCUGGGCCGCACGCGUGCUACACUGAGUGGAUCAGCGGGUCAGGUUGCGCGAAAGCGUUUCCUAAUCUUUAAAUCCGCUCGUGAUGGGGAUUGACGGUUGCAAUUUUCUGUCAUGAACGAGGAAUACCUUGUAAGCGCGGGUCAUCAUCCCGCGCUGAAUACGUCCCUGCCCUUUGUACACACCGCCCGUCGCUCCUACCGAUUGAGUGGUCCGGUGAGGCUUUGGGAUCUGAGCGGAAAGAGCGUUUCGCUGUUUCUGCUCGGAAAACUCAGUCGUACCUUAUCAUUUAGAGGAAGGAGAAGUCGUAACA